UACGGAGGGUGCGAGCGUUGCUCGGAAUUACUGGGCGUAAAGCGCGUGUAGGCGGCCUUUUAAGUUCGGUGUGAAAGCCCGGGGCUCACCCCCGGAAGUGCAUCGAAUACUGGGAGGCUAGAGUACCGGAGAGGAGGGUGGAAUUCCUGGUGUAGCGGUGAAAUGCGUAGAUAUCAGGAGGAACACCGGUGGCGAAGGCGGCCCUCUGGACGGAUACUGACGCUGAGACGCGAAAGCGUGGGGAGCAAACAGG
rnacentral:rRNA from 1 species